rnacentral:rRNA from 1 species
AUUGAACGCUGGCGGCAGGCCUAACACAUGCAAGUCGAACGAGUGGCGGACGGGUGAGUAAUGUCUGGGAAACUGCCCGAUGGAGGGGGAUAACUACUGGAAACAGUAGCUAAUACCGCAUACCAUCGGAUGUGCCCAGAUGGGAUUAGCUAGUAGGUGGGGUAACGGCUCACCUAGGCGACGAUCCCUAGCUGGUCUGAGAGGAUGACCAGCAACACUGGAACUGAGACACGGUCCAGACGCCUACGGUAGGCAGCAGUGGGGAAUAUGGGAAAAUGGUCGCAAGCCUGAUGCAGCCAUGCCGCGCGGAUGAAGAAGGCUUUCGGGUUGUAAAGUACUUUAAGCGAGGAGUCGUUAGUCGCAGAAGAAGCACCGGCUAACUCCGUGCCAGCAGCCGCGGUAAUUC